rnacentral:rRNA from 1 species
GACGAACGCUGGCGGCGUGCUUAACACAUGCAAGUCGAACGGAAAGGCCCUGCUUGCAGGGUACUCGAGUGGCGAACGGGUGAGUAACACGUGGGUGAUCUGCCCUGCACUUCGGGAUAAGCCUGGGAAACUGGGUCUAAUACCGGAUAGGAGCCAUUUUUAGUGUGAUGGUUGGAAAGUUUUUUCGGUGUAGGAUGAGCUCGCGGCCUAUCAGCUUGUUGGUGGGGUAAUGGCCUACCAAGGCGGCGACGGGUAGCCGGCCUGAAAGGGUGGACGGCCACAUUGGGACUGAGAUACGGCCCAGACGCCUACGGGAGGCAGCAGUGGGGAAUAUUGCACAAGGGGCGCAAGCCGGAUGCAGCGACGCCGCGUGGGGGAUGACGGCCUUCGGGUUGUAAACUCCUUUCGCUAGGGACGAAGCUUUUUGUGACGGUACCUAGAGAAGAAGCACCGGCUAACUACGUG